UUGGCAGCCGAUUGCAGUGGGCGGGUGAGGGGACGAGGACUCUCCAUACCCCUGUGCCUCUUUUGCCCCAAAGGCGAGGAGAGCCUGUCCCCAGUACCCUGGGGCAUCCAUGGAGCUGUCUGCGUUAGUUCCUUUGGCUCGCCUCAGGUCUGAACCUUGGUGGCAGAGAAGAAAUUUCAUGUGCUUUGGAGAUGGAGGGGCUGAAAAAGCGAGGAUACCUUCCCACCCAAUCUAAGGUCUCGUUCCCAUUCGAUUGUGGGUGUUUCUGCACCCGGAAGCCAGCUCUUCGGGGCUCCGGGGCUCGUCUGCUCUUCCAAAGAGAAAAAGGACAAAAGGCCGGCGUCCAUGUUGGCACCAUGACGCAGCAUCUCUCCCGCCUGCAGCCCGGCGCUGCUUGUCCUCCGGGCCGCGCUCGCUCCUCCCUCCCAAACACGAGUUUUAUUUUCAGGUUUUUGAGCCGAGCCGAGGGCUGGGUCGGGUUGGAGCCAAAGCUGAAGCCGCCCGGCCGUUCACUACUGCUAUGGCUAAUGGCGGCCGGCUUUCCUCCUUCCUUCCGCCAUCCUGCUUUCCCCCGGUUGUCGCUGGGAGCCGGGAGGCAGUACCGGGCCCUAAGAGCCUGCGAGGCACGGCGCCCGCGAUCCUGGUGACGGGUCUCGGGGGACCUUAGGCCUCGGGGGGGGGGGGCGUCGCGCACCAUAAUUCCCGACUCGCUCCCCCCAGCCCCCUCCCCGGGCGCGGCUCGGACAGUGGCGGCCG
rnacentral:lncRNA from 1 species